rnacentral:tRNA from 1 species
GGGCUCGUAGCUCAGCGGUUAGAGCAAGCGGCUCAUAACCGCAAGGUCGCAGGUUCGAAUCCUGCCGAGCCCACCG